UACGAAGGGGGCUAGCGUUGCUCGGAAUUACUGGGCGUAAAGCGCACGUAGGCGGAUCGAUCAGUCAGGGGUGAAAUCCCAGGGCUCAACCCUGGAACUGCCUUUGAUACUGUCGAUCUGGAGUAUGGAAGAGGUGAGUGGAAUUCCGGGUGUAGUGGUGAAAUGCGUAGAGAUCCGGAGGAACACCAGUGGCGAAGGCGACACGCUGGGCCGUACCUGACACUGAUGCGCGACAGCAUGGGAAGCAAACAGG
rnacentral:rRNA from 1 species